rnacentral:tRNA from 1 species
GGAGACGUGGCCGAGUGGCUGAAGGCAACGCACUGCUAAUGCGUUAGGGGAGCAAUCCUCUCGGAGGUUCGAAUCCUCCCGUCUCCGCCA